rnacentral:tRNA from 1 species
UCCGGGAUAGUUCAAUGGUAGAACGCUUCACUGUUAAUGAAGAUGCUGCCGGUUCGAAUCCGGCUCCCGGAG